GUGCCUUGAAAGCACCCUCAAUGGGGGUCCCUCCUACAGUCCAGUGCCUGUAAUCAUAGCUCCAUGCAUGUCUCCCAGAGCAUAUCUGUCCCCAGUCCCUAAGGUCAACAGUCACCUUGAUUCCCACCUGAUCAGUGGCCUUUUAGUAAUAGCAACUGAGGUCAGGGUUCCUAGGUCACUGCUCCUGGCCAGUGUGACCUCACCUUCAGAGUCAGAUUUUGGUGACUGCUCUGCUCUGGUGCCCAGGGCUCUGCAUGGUCCACUCUUCAUUGCUCCAGGCUGCUGCCUGGAAACCACAUGCAUUGUAGCCAUAUCCUGGGUGGUGGGUGUGUCCCAGUGGAUCCCAUCCUUGCUUGAGCAUCUGCCUUUCCUGUUCUUCUUUUCCGCACCAGACUUCCUCUAGUCACCUUCAAAAAGUCAGCUCAUGGGUUGCCUCCUACAGGACACAUGCCCUUCUUCACCGGCAGCACUGGGCCAGCCCACUUGCUUCUGCAGUUAUCUGGGUGCAGGCUACAAUCUUCCCCCUAGUUUCAAGCACCUAAGGGCAAGGACAACAUCUUAGUUGGUUUUUUCCUUUCCAUGACUCAUUUGAGGCUCAAUAAAAACAGAACCAUUCCCUUUCUGAUUUUCUUCUUCUUCUGUCCUCAGGUGCAGAAAUUGGUUCUGUCUCCAGGGUAGAGAAUUUCCAGACUUAAGUACUUAUCUCAUUUUGUGAGAAGAUUACUACUUUCCCAAGCCUUUCUAUUGAAUAUCAUUUGCCCUCUUAAUGUUAA
rnacentral:lncRNA from 1 species